rnacentral:rRNA from 1 species
GACGAACGCUGGCGGCAUGCCUUACACAUGCAAGUCGAACGGCAGCACGGGAGCAAUCCUGGUGGCGAGUGGCGAACGGGUGAGUAAAGUAUCGGAACGUGCCCAGUCGUGGGGGAUAACGUAGCGAAAGUUACGCUAAUACCGCAUACGAUCUAUGGAUGAAAGCGGGGGAUCGCAAGACCUCGCGCGAUUGGAGCGGCCGAUAUCAGAUUAGGUAGUUGGUGGGGUAAAGGCUCACCAAGCCGACGAUCUGUAGCUGGUCUGAGAGGACGACAGGCCACACUGGGACUGAGACACGGCCCAGACUCCUACGGGAGGCAGCAGUGGGGAAUUUUGGACAAUGGGCGAAAGCCUGAUCCAGCCAUGCCGCGUGCAGGAUGAAGGCCUUCGGGUUGUAAACUGCUUUUGUACGGAACGAAAAGGUUUGGCCUAAUAAGCUGAGCUCAUGACGGUACCGUAAGAAUAAGCACCGGCUAACUACGUGCCAGCCGCCGCCGUAA